rnacentral:rRNA from 1 species
CAAUAGCGUAUAUUAAAGUUGUUGCGGUUAAAAAGCUCGUAGUUGGAUCUCGUCGGGUUGGUGGCGGUUCGGUGAUUACCGAAACUGCCACAUUUACCCGAGUUUUUGACGGAGGUUCCAGGGUGCUCUUCACCGGGUGUCCUGGGAUGCCGUCAGGUUUACUUUGAAAAAAUUAGAGUGCUCAAAGCAGGCUUUAAACGCUUGAAUAUUCGUGCAUGGAAUAAUAGAAUAGGACGUCGUUUCUAUUUUGUUGGUUUUCGGAAAUUGACGUAAUGAUUAAUAGGGACAGUCGGGGGCAUUAGUAUUCAAACGACAGAGGUGAAAUUCUUGGACCGUUUGAAGACUAACUACUGCGAAAGCAUUUGCCAAGAAUGUUUUCAUUAAUCAAGAACGAAAGUCAGAGGUU